GCGCUCGGACGUGCCGCAUCUGACUACGGAUCAGAAGGUUGGGGGUUCGAGUCCCUCCGAGCGCG
rnacentral:tRNA from 1 species